GGGGGUGUAGCUCAGUGGUAGAGCACAUGUUUCGUAUGUAUGAGGUUCUGGGGUCAAUCCCCAGGAUCUCCA